GCCUCCUUAGCUCAGCGGCUAGAGCACCUGUCUUGUAAACAGGGGGUCGUGGGUUCGAUUCCCACAGGGGGCUCCA
rnacentral:tRNA from 1 species